GUCUUCGUGGCGCAGUUGGCUAGCGCGUUGGUCUCAUAUUGAUAUAAUAUGAUCCAGUCAUAGACUGGGAUAUCCAGAGGUCGUGAGUUCGAGCCUCACUGGGGACA